UCCGUUAAGGAGAUCUUUUGGCACCUCUAAAACUGGUGCAGAAUAAGGGGUGGGCAAGUCUGGUGUCAGCCGCCGCGGUAAUACCAGCACCCCGAGUGGUCGGGACGUUUAUUGGGCCUAAAGCAUCCGUAGCCGGUUCUACAAGUCUUCCGUUAAAUCCACCUGCUUAACAGAUGGGCUGCGGAAGAUACUAUAGAGCUAGGAGGCGGGAGAGGCAAGCGGUACUCGAUGGGUAGGGGUAAAAUCCGUUGAUCCAUUGAAGACCACCAGUGGCGAAGGCGGCUUGCCAGAACGCGCUCGACGGUGAGGGAUGAAAGCUGGGGGAGCAAACCGGAUUAGAUACCCGGGUAGUCCCAGCUGUAAACGAUGCAGACUCGGUGAUGAGUUGGCUUCGGCCCUCAGUGCCGCAGGGAAGCCGUUAAGUUUGCCGCCUGGGGAGUACGGUCGCAAGACUGAAACUUAAAGGAAUUGGCGGGGGGAGCACA
rnacentral:rRNA from 1 species